GAUGAACGCUGGCGGCGUGCCUAAUACAUGCAAGUCGAGCGAACAGACGCGGAGCUUGCUCCUCUGACGUUAGCGGCGGACGGGUGAGUAACACGUGGAUAACCUACCUAUCAGAGGGGGAUAACUUUGGGAAACGGGAGCUAAUACCGGAUAAUAUAUUGAACCGCAUGGUUCGAUAGUGAAAGAAGGCUUUGGUGUCAGCUAUAGGUUGAACCGCGGCGCAUUAGCUAGUUGGGUAGGUAAAGGCUUACCAAGGCGACGAUGCGUAGCCGACCUGAGAGGGUGAUCGGCCACACUGGAACUGAGACACGGCCCAGACUCCUACGGGAGGCAGCAGUAGGGAAUCUUCCGCAAUGGACGAAAGCCUGACGGAGCAACGCCGCGUGAGUGAUGAAGGUCUUCGGAUCGUAAAACUCUGUUAUUAGGGAAGAACAAAUGUGUAAGUAACUAUUCACGUCUUGACGGUACCCAAUCAGAAAGCCACGGCUAACUACGUG
rnacentral:rRNA from 1 species